CAGAGCUAGGGAUGAAACUGAAGGAUUGGGCCUCAGGAGCAGUAGGAGAGCUGUGAGUCUGCCUUCAUUCUACUUGUUGCCAUGGGAGAUUCAGUUUGACUGAACUAUAUCCUAGUCAGCCUGGGAUCACCACUCUCUGUUGCUGAGACUACAGGAAGGCCACCAGGCCUGCCAAUAUUUUACAUGGGUGCCAAGGAUCCAAGCUCUAGUCCUUACAUUCAUGUAGCAAAAAACACAGAAUGGCUGAAUGAUUCUGAAACAAAUUCCAUCUAUCUAUUAACUGCAAGAAGCUCAUCUUAGUUUUAAAGAUAUGCACCACCUAAAAUGAAAGGAUGGACAAAACUAUUCCAAUCAAAUGAAACCAGGAAGCAAGCAGGCAUCACUAUAUUAAUAUCUGACAAAAUCAAAUGAAGCUAAUCAGAAGAUAUAAAGAAGGAUACUUCAUUCUACUCAAGAGAAAAAUUAA